rnacentral:rRNA from 1 species
UACGUAGGGUGCGAGCGUUUGUCCGGAAUUAUUGGGCGUAAGGAGCUUGUAGGCGGUUUGUCGCGUCUGCUGUGAAAUCUCAAGGCUCAACCUUGAGCUUGCAGUGGGUACGGGCAGACUAGAGUGUGGUAGGGGAGACUGGAAUUCCUGGUGUAGCGGUGAAAUGCGCAGAUAUCAGGAGGAACACCGAUGCGAAGGCAGGUCUGCC